UUUCCGUAGGUGAACCUGCGGAAGGAUCAUUAUCGAACCCUACCAGGGAGGGGAGGGACGACGGAUGGAGGAGUCAAGGCUGUCGCCGGCAACGUGCACGCCCCUUUCUCUUUCGUGGAACCUCCCCUUUCUAGUUUCCUUAUCCACCUGUGCACCCUUUGUAGGCCCUCGAAAGAGGAUCUACGUUUUCUCUAUAUACGCUUUUUGCUACGCAUGUCCAGAAUGUAUACAAACUUUACAACUUUCAGCAACGGAUCUCUUGGCUCUC
rnacentral:misc_RNA from 1 species